rnacentral:rRNA from 1 species
UACGGGGGGAGCAAGCGUUGUUCGGAUUUACUGGGCGUAAAGGGCGCGUAGGCGGUCAGCACAAGUCAGUUGUGAAAUCUCCGGGCUUAACUCGGAAAGGUCAACUGAUACUGUGCGACUAGAGUGCGGAAGGGGCAACUGGAAUUCUCGGUGUAGCGGUGAAAUGCGUAGAGAUCAGGCAGAACACCUGGGGCGAAGGCGGCCAGCUGGGCCGUCCCUGACGCUGAGGCGCGAAGGCGUGGGGAGCGAACGGG